AGUGAACGCUGGCGGUAGGCCUAACACAUGCAAGUCGAACGGCAGCACAGUAAGAGCUUGCUCUUACGGGUGGCGAGUGGCGGACGGGUGAGGAAUACAUCGGAAUCUACUUUUUCGGGGGGGAUAACGUAGGGAAACUUACGCUAAUACCGCAUACGACCUACGGGUGAAAGCAGGGGAUCUUCGGACCUUGCGCGAUUGAAUGAGCCGAUGUCGGAUUAGCUAGUUGGGGGGCUAAAUGCCCACCAAGGCGACGAUCCGUAGCUGGUGUGAGAGGCUGAUCAGCGACCCUGGAGGUGGGCCAGCGUCCAGACGCCUACGGGAGGCAGCAGUGGGGAAUAUUGGACAAUGGGCGCAAGCCUGAUCCAGCCAUCCCGAGUGGGUGAAGAAGGCGUUCGGGUUGUAAAGCCGUUUUGUUGGGAAAGAAAAGCAGCAGGUUAAUACCCCGCUGUUCUGACGGUACCCAAAGAAUAAGCACCGGCUAACUUCGUG
rnacentral:rRNA from 1 species